rnacentral:rRNA from 1 species
GAGUUUGAUCCUGGCUCAGAGCGAACGCUGGCGGCAUGCUUAACACAUGCAAGUCGCACGGUCAGCAAUGGCAGUGGCGGACGGGUGAGUAACACGUAGGAAUCUAUCCUGGGGUGGGGGACAACAGCGGGAAACUGCUGCUAAUACCGCAUGAUACCUGAGGGUCAAAGGCGCAAGUCGCCUUGGGAGGAGCCUGCGUCUGAUUAGCUUGUUGGUGGGGUAAAGGCCUACCAAGGCGACGAUCAGUAGCUGGUCUGAGAGGAUGAUCAGCCACAUUGGGACUGAGACACGGCCCAAACUCCUACGGGAGGCAGCAGUGGGGAAUAUUGGACAAUGGGGGAAACCCUGAUCCAGCAAUGCCGCGUGUGUGAAGAAGGUCUUCGGAUUGUAAAGCACUUUUGGCAGGGACGAUGAUGACGGUACCUGCAGAAUAAGCCCCGGCUAACUUCGUGCCAGCAGCCGCGGUAAUAC